CCCUUAGAUGUUCUGGGCUGCACGCGCGCUACACUGAUGUGUUCAUCGGGUUCGACCUUGCCCGGGAGGGUUGGGUAAUCCUUUCAAAACACAUCGUGAUGGGGAUAGAUUAUUGCAAUUAUUAAUCUUGAACGAGGAAUUCCUAGUAAACGCAGUUCAUCAAACUGCAUUGAUUACGUCCCUGCCCUUUGUACACACCGCCCGUCGCACCUACCGAUUGAAUGGUCCGGUGAAGCCUCGAGAUUGUGGUUAGUUUCCUUUAUUGGAUGUUAGCCGCGAGAACUUGUCUAAACCUUAUCAUUUAGAGGAAGGUGAANUCGUAACA
rnacentral:rRNA from 1 species